UCGAUCCUCCUCCGAUAGUCGCAGCAUUGGUAGAAGAAGCAGGGAAGGAAGGAAUGAAGGAAGAAGGUUAAGGAGCAGAGCAGGUGGUAAGAAAGGUAAUAAAGAGAAAAUGGGAGGGAGGGAGGGAUGGGAUUACCAGAAACGGUAGUGGGGUAUGUAGUGGUAGUUGAAACAUGCAUAAAGGUAAAAACAAACUCGAGGAAAAGACAGAAUGGAAAUCGGAAAUAUUGAAACAAACAGACUACUCUGAUUCUUCUUUUUUGUCUGUGUUUUUCGCUAUUUUCCGUAUUUAGUGAGAUGUUUUAAUAAUAUAUAGUUUAAUCUUACCGUCAUUUUUCAUAAAUCUUAAAAAAUGGACGGAUAUUUUUUAAAUUGAUUUCUUU
rnacentral:lncRNA from 1 species